ensembl:misc_RNA 7SK 7SK RNA
AGUAGUGAUGGCAAUCUGAGCUGUGACUCCUGUCACUCACUGGCUGCCAAGAUUGAUCUGGCUGAUCUGACUGCUAGACCAGUGUCUCCCUCUAUUCUCCCCCCUCUGUGUGUUCCCCUGAACUUGGACUCCCCAUGGGAAAGGAUAGCUUUUCCUGAUAAAGAAGGACCAUUCUUCUGACAUAGUUGUGUUCUUUUUGUAGGACCUCUAACUAAGCUCUCACGGUUCAUUUGCAGGAGAAAGUGAAGUGCUAGAGCCUCCAAGAUUCCAGACAUAUCUAAACAAGGUGCUACAGAUGGCAAUAAGUAAAAUGGGGCAUGCUGUCACCU